UACGUAGGGUGCAAGCGUUAAUCGGAAUUACUGGGCGUAAAGCGUGCGCAGGCGGUUCGCUAAGACCGAUGUGAAAUCCCCCGGGCUUAACCUGGGAACUGCAUUGGUGACUGGCGGGCUAGAGUAUGGCAGAGGGGGGGUAGAAUUCCACGUGUAGCAGUGAAAUGCGUAGAGAUGUGGAGGAAUACCGAUGGCGAAAGGCAGCCUCCUGGGCCAACACUGACGCUCAUGCACGAAAAGCGUGGGGGAGCAAAACAGG
rnacentral:rRNA from 1 species